rnacentral:lncRNA from 1 species
AUGCCUGAAACUGUUUUCCCCCCACAGGAAAGGAUUUCACACUCUUCGACGGGGAGUAAGCAUUUGAGCUCCAGCCCCUGCCCUCCCCCAGCCGAUCUGCUGCCAGGAGCAGGCGCAUUGCACAAGGAGGCAUUAAAAAGCUGUCUGUGGGUGCAUUACCCACUGAGUUAUAAGGCGUCCCUCCCUAUGUUCCUGCUGGACUGCAUUAAUGAGAUGAAUGACUUCCUUCUUUCUGAGAGAGAAGAAAUACCAGGCGGGACCCCCCUGCAGGUGGAAGAGCAGCAUCACAACCAGUGCAGCAAGAAUUCCUUUUUCCUCUUCACAACACACUGUGAAAUGCUCAAAAAGAUCCCAAACAAAACAAAACUAAGAAAACCAAAAGGGCCAAAUACUUCUAGAGACUGGAAGCAGAAUGGAUACAGUGGCAUCCAUCCCCCCAAGUCGGGGUGACUCAGGGGGGUUCCCCCUCAGCUUAUGUCGGCCAUGAUCAAGAGCACUUCCCCGUCAGAGCUGCCGGUAUCCUCGACGUGAUAAAGCAGCAAGCCCCUUCCCCUUCUGUCAAGGAAAUGUCUGCGUUACAAGACGAUAACAAGAAAGACAGAAGACUGAACCCACACUGACAAAUGCUACUCAUGUUAUGCUGUAAUAAAUUGUGUGGUAAGAAAAUAUGACUAGUAAAA